AGAGUUUGAUCAUGGCUCAGAUUGAACGCUGGCGGCAGGCCUAACACAUGCAAGUCGAGCGGUAGCACAGGAGAGCUUGCUCUCUGGGUGACGAGCGGCGGACGGGUGAGUAAUGUCUGGGAAACUGCCUGAUGGAGGGGGAUAACUACUGGAAACGGUAGCUAAUACCGCAUAACGUCUUCGGACCAAAGUGGGGGACCUUCGGGCCUCACGCCAUCAGAUGUGCCCAGAUGGGAUUAGCUAGUAGGUGGGGUAAUGGCUCACCUAGGCGACGAUCCCUAGCUGGUCUGAGAGGAUGACCAGCCACACUGGAACUGAGACACGGUCCAGACUCCUACGGGAGGCAGCAGUGGGGAAUAUUGCACAAUGGGCGCAAGCCUGAUGCAGCCAUGCCGCGUGUGUGAAGAAGGCCUUCGGGUUGUAAAGCACUUUCAGCGAGGAGGAAGGGCAGUGUGUUAAUAGCACAUUGCAUUGACGUUACUCGCAGAAGAAGCACCGGCUAACUCCGUGCCAGCAGCCGCGGUAAUACGGAGGGUGCAAGCGUUAAUCGGAAUUACUGGGCGUAAAGCGCACGCAGGCGGUUUGUUAAGUCAGAUGUGAAAUCCCCGCGCUUAACGUGGGAACUGCAUUUGAAACUGGCAAGCUAGAGUCUUGUAGAGGGGGGUAGAAUUCCAGGUGUAGCGGUGAAAUGCGUAGAGAUCUGGAGGAAUACCGGUGGCGAAGGCGGCCCCCUGGACAAAGACUGACGCUCAGGUGCGAAAGCGUGGGGAGCAAACAGGAUUAGAUACCCUGGUAGUCCACGCUGUAAACGAUGUCGACUUGGAGGUUGUGCCCUUGAGGCGUGGCUUCCGGAGCUAACGCGUUAAGUCGACCGCCUGGGGAGUACGGCCGCAAGGUUAAAACUCAAAUGAAUUGACGGGGGCCCGCACAAGCGGUGGAGCAUGUGGUUUAAUUCGAUGCAACGCGAAGAACCUUACCUACUCUUGACAUCCAGAGAAUUCGCUAGAGAUAGCUUAGUGCCUUCGGGAACUCUGAGACAGGUGCUGCAUGGCUGUCGUCAGCUCGUGUUGUGAAAUGUUGGGUUAAGUCCCGCAACGAGCGCAACCCUUAUCCUUUGUUGCCAGCACGUAAUGGUGGGAACUCAAAGGAGACUGCCGGUGAUAAACCGGAGGAAGGUGGGGGAUGACGUCAAGUCAUCAUGGCCCUUACGAGUAGGGCUACACACGUGCUACAAUGGCGUAUACAAAGAGAAGCGAACUCGCGAGAGCCAGCGGACCUCAUAAAGUACGUCGUAGUCCGGAUCGGAGUCUGCAACUCGACUCCGUGAAGUCGGAAUCGCUAGUAAUCGUAGAUCAGAAUGCUACGGUGAAUACGUUCCCGGGCCUUGUACACACCGCCCGUCACACCAUGGGAGUGGGUUGCAAAAGAAGUAGGUAGCUUAACCUUCGGGAGGGCGCUUACCACUUUGUGAUUCAUGACUGGGGUGAAGUCGUAACAAGGUAACCGUAGGGGAACCUGCGGUUGGAUCACCU
rnacentral:rRNA from 1 species